GGACCUAAUCCGAGGCAAAGAGCGUAGGAGAUGGACAACAGGUUGAUAUUCCUGUACCGGCAGCAAUUGUUUGAGCGAAGGAGUGACACAGAAGGGCAGGCAGGCGCGAGACUGGAUUGUCGCGUGCAAGCGUGUAGGGUAGUGUACAGGCAAAUCCGUACACUGAGAGCCUGAGGCGUUACGCGGAGCGAGCAGAGAUGCGAGCGAAGCUGCUGAUCCCACACUGUCGAGAAAAGCUUCUAGUGAGAGAGCUGCCGCCCGUACCGUAAACCGACACAGGUAUGCGGGGAGAGAAUCCUAAGGUGCGCGGGAGAACCCUCGUUAAGGAACUCGGCAAAAUGUACCCGUAACUUCGGGAUAAGGGUAGCCGUCUUGGUGAAGGAGCAUGCCUCUGGAGCUGAAGGCGGUCGCAGAGAAGAGGCCCAAGCGACUGUUUACCACAAACACAGGUGCCUGCUAAAGCGAAAGCUGACGUAUAGGUGCUGACACCUGCCCAGUGCUGGAAGGUUAAGGAAGGAUGUCCGGGUAACCAAAGCAUUCGACCGAAGCCCCAGUGAACGGCGGCCGUAACUAUAACGGUCCUAAGGUAGCGAAAUUCCUUGUCGGGUAAGUUCCGACCCGCACGAAAGGUGUAACGAUUUGGGCACUGUCUCAACGAGGGACCCGGUGAAAUUGAAAUACCUGUGAAGAUGCAGGUUACCCGCGACUGGACAGAAAGACCCCAUGGAGCUUUACUGUAACCUGACAUUGGGUUUUGUUGUAUUACGUACAGGAUAGGUGGGAGGCUUGGAAGGCUGGACGCUAGUCUGGCUGGAGCCGGCGUUGGGAUACCACCCUUGAUACAACGGAAUUCUAACCGAGAGAGUAACGAAAUCCGGGACAGUGUCAGGCGGGCAGUUUGACUGGGGCGGUCGCCUCCGAAAGAGUAACGGAGGCGCCCAAAGGUUCCCUCAGCGCGGCCGGAAAUCGCGCGAAGAGUGUAAAGGCAGAAGGGAGCUUGACUGCGAGCCAAACACGGCGAGCAGGUACGAAAGUAGGGCUUAGUGAUCCGGUGGUACCGAGUGGAAGGGCCAUCGCUCAACGGAUAAAAGCUACCCUGGGGAUAACAGGCUAAUCUCUCCCAAGAGUCCAUAUCGACGGGGAGGUUUGGCACCUCGAUGUCGGCUCAUCACAUCCUGGGGCUGAAGUCGGUCCCAAGGGUUGGGCUGUUCGCCCAUUAAAGUGGUACGUGAGCUGGGUUCAGAACGUCGUGAGACAGUUCGGUCCCUAUCCAUCGCGGGCGCAAGAGAUUUGAAGGGGUCUGCUCCUAGUACGAGAGGACCGGAGUGGACGGACCGCUGGUGUACCAGUUAUUCCGCCAGGAGUACAGCUGGGUAGCUACGUCCGGACUGGAUAAACGCUGAAAGCAUCUAAGCGUGAAGCCAUCCUUAAGAUGAGAUCUCUCACAGAGUAAUCUGGUAAGACACCUUAAAGAAGAUGAGGUAGAUAGGCCGGGAGUGUAAGUGCAGCAAUGUAUUGAGCUGACCGGUACUAAUAUGUCGAGGGCUUGACUUC
rnacentral:rRNA from 1 species